ensembl:snRNA U4 U4 spliceosomal RNA
AGCUUUGCGCAGUGACAGUAUCGUAGCCAACGAGGUUUAUCCGAGGCGCAAUUGUUGCUAAUUGAACACUUUUCCCAAUACCCCCGCCGUGAUGACUUGAAAUAAAUGAGUCUUACACACGUAU